rnacentral:lncRNA from 1 species
CACUACAGAGUUUUACUAUAAUACUAACUGAAUAUUUUUGCACAAGGGAACAACUGAAUAUUGUGAGUAUCUAAGUAAGAAUUGGUUUAUUUACUGGAACAAAACUAAUUCAGCAAAACAGAAAAUGAAUACAAAAGAACUAACAGAAACUUUUACUGAAAUGGAUUGAUGAAUAACAAACUGAAUUAAAGAAAUUGAAACAGAAAAGUGUAUUAACUAAACUAAAGAAAAUGGAAUAUGACAGAAUUCAAUUUGUUCAUAUCUGAUGGAGAAAUGCACAUCAAUACAAUUACAUAACAUGAAUUUUAAGAAAUGAUUUGAUUUCGAGAUUAAAACAGGAAAUUGAAACAGGAACUUGACGAAAUUGAACUUGAUUGGAAAAAACUGGAAUCGAUACCUAAAAAAGAUGAACAACAAACAAGAAAUUACCGGAUGAAAACGAAGAAGGAUCCAAGAACUGAGAAUGAUUGAGAAGAGCAGAAAACUGAAACUCACAAAUGAAAAAGAACUUUU